rnacentral:siRNA from 1 species
UGGCGGGUCGAAACGAGCGUC